rnacentral:misc_RNA from 1 species
UUAACUCAAAGCCUCUCAAAUCCUACUUCUGCUUUUGCUCUUUACAUUAAUUUUCAUCAUUCCUCUGCAGCAGAAGAACAAGUUCAGACAAAGAAACACAUAAAAAAAAAAGCAUGGCAAGUAGCAGCAUGGCUUCUGCUGCAUCUGGUUUUAUGGUGGCAACCCCUAAUGUCACCUCUAACUCUGCUCCAAAGAGCUCUAUGUUAUCUUUCUCCUCCAAGAACACCACCACCAACAUCCCCAGGCUCAUUGUACGGGCCGCGGAAGAAGCUGCACCACCAGCUCCUACUGCCACCGCUGAAGGCGAAGCUCCUCCUGCCAAAGCUGUCAAGCCACCUCCAAUUGGACCCAAG